ACUUAAAUAGUUUAACUAAAAUUUUGAUUUGUGGUAUCAAAGAUAUAAUAUUUAUUUUAAGUC
rnacentral:tRNA from 1 species